rnacentral:rRNA from 1 species
AUGGCCUCCCUGAAUCCUUUUGUCCAUCCAAAGGAUCUGCGCCGACGAGCACAGGGCGAGGUCCUGGUGCACCGGAUCCGUCGCCCCCCACUACAGGAGGAGCCAUGGCAUCCGGUUCACCGUGCGUUCUGCCCUUCUCCAAGAAUGGAUCUACGCCGACGACCCCAUACUGCCCAAGGUCCAUUCUCCCACCAUGCUUCCACCACUAUCAAGGGUUAUGUGAAGACUUCAUUUAGUUUAAGGGAGCUGGUUCAGGCAAUUAACACAUGCGACUACGAUAUGUCUACGAGUGGACAUUAUUCCAAGAGAUCAAAGCAUUUGUUAGACUUAAUUUCUGUUCGUUUCGGGCUAUGCAUUGUCCCAGACUUUGUAAUAAGGAUAUGGUACAUCAUCAUCACCGAUGAAGAGGAGAAGGGGUUUAUCGUGUCAGGAAAGGUAAGGCAACAGAGAGCCUCAUGUUUUGUGAGCCAGAUGUUCCUCUUUAAGACCUGGAUGGGCAACCUGUUGCAAGUGCUCAAGGGGUGUUCAGAGCAUAUACUUCUCAAGGCCAACAUUGUGAUGCAUGUGUAG